AAAGAUGGGGUUUAUAUCUAUUGCAUGAAUUUAUCCCUCUACAUCAUGUCAUCUUGCUUAAGGCGUUACUCUAUUUGUUAUGAACUCAAUACACUAGAUGCAUGCUCGAUAGCGGUCAAUGUGUGGAGAUGCAGAAAGUAUCGGUCUACUUGUCUCGGACGUGAUGCCUAUAUGUAUGAUCAUUGCCUUAGAUAUCAUCAUAACUUUCCGCGAUUCUAUCAGUUGCUCGACAGUAAUUCGUUCACCCACCGUAAUAUUUGCUUUCAUGAGAGAAGCCUCUAGUGAAAACUAUGGCCCCCGGGUCGACUUCACAUCAUAUUUUCAGCUCUAUACUUUUACUUUGUUGCACUUUCCACCUUCAUAUCUCACCUUGCAAUUAAUCGUGAAGGGAUUGACAACCCCUUUAUAGCGUUGGGUGCAAGUUUGUUAGUUUUUGCGCAGGUACAUUGGUGACUUGUCUUGAUACUCC
rnacentral:lncRNA from 1 species